CCGCCGACCUCGCAGCGGGCGGCCCCGACACCCCGGCCCGCCCCCCCUGGGCGCGCGGCCGCCCCCGCGGAGAACUCCGCCGUGCUUCCCCCUGGCUGGCGGAUAAAGUCCCAGCUCCUGUGGGGGCCUUCCGGGCGGCCCCAGGCCCCCAGCCGCGCUUUGCGGAGGGGCAGACGGGGAAACUGAGGCACAGAGGGGCAACUUGCUGAGAAUCACGCAGCAGGUGUGGAAUUUGAGCCCAGGCGCCAUAGACCACUAACUACUGGACACCAGAAAAGCCCCAGGGGAGCCAGACGGCGGGGAAGAACACUAAGGAGUAAAGUAUUUCAGAACAUCUUGCCACCAUGAGAGAAGGCCAAGACAAGUGCAUUGUGGGAGCCUUGACAUCUAUGAACCACUGGACUCCGGCAACAGCCAGUAUCUGGAAUUCUUGUGAAGACAGAGGGAUAGGGAUAGCCAACGACCCCGAGCUGAGCUCUGUGGACAAAGCAAGGAGACUGUGUCAAAGAGGCUGAGAGUUGAUCUUUUCUGCUACCACUCUUGGGGCAAAAUGACAUCCAAUCAUACCCUAGGUUGAUCUGUAGCUCAGAGCAAUGAUGACUCAAGAAAGAGUGGUCAAAUCAGGCUUAACCAGACCGUGGUCAGGAAGAAAGCCAUGCAAACAGAAAGCAUGAGAAGUACCAAGGAGUGGAGGGGCGGGGGACUCUGAAAGGUCCUGAGGGCAUCUCUGAAGAGGAGAGAGCUGCAGCGGAAGGAGACGGUGAGCAUGUGGAGGCGAUGACUUUGUCUCGUGCAUUUAUUCCUUGAACCGAUAUUGAAUGAGCACGUUCUAGGGACCGUGCUAGGUGCGGGGAAACAGCUGUGUACAACUGUCUUGUAUCCCACGCAGCCCCAGAGGGCCUGUAGAUGCUGUUGAUACCCCCCCCCCAUCCCCUAGCACUUACCAGUCCAAUUUCUGGCUGCAAGCACCAGCGACUCUGCCCAAGGACAUUCUCUGGCCCCAGGAGACAGCUUGGCCCGUGCAGAGGGCAAGCAGAAGUGUCAGAGAGUUGGUGCUCACAGAGCAGGUCUCAAGCCAACCGUGAUUGGAAUUGGUGGGUGUCCCACCUGUACCCCUGGAGGUUGUGGGGCUGGCGCUCUGGCAGCCAUCUUGCUUGAAACCAGCUUUACUACUUCUGAAUAUAAAGACAGAACAUGUGUCGUAGGAGACUGUGAUGAUGGCCUCUCUUCAACCCUCCCCGUAUCGACACUCCCUGCCAUGUAUCUGAUCCCUGCCUGUCACCGGGAGCCUGAGCUCUACCACAUGACUUGUUCUGACCAAUGGGAUAUGAGCAGAUGUGAUGGGAGGCAGAAGCUUGAAAUUCGCUUCCAUGAUUGGACUUAUUUGCACUUCUGCCAUUGCCAGGAGGACGCCUGGAGGCUGGGCCCACCCACAGGGUAGGAGAGAAUGUGGAGCCGAGUUGCCUCAACUGCCAAGCCGAGGUCAGUCUAGAUCACCCAACAGCCAGAGUGUGCCCAGACAUGAAAGAGCCUGGCCAAGAUCGGCACAGCCACCUGGCCGACCAUUGCAACUUCAGCAAUACAUGCUUCUCUCGCAGGCCCCUGAGGGCUUUCAGCAGCUUUCCUACAGCAAUAGAUAAUUGAUGCACUUCUCAGUUAGGAAGUUGGAGCCAUAUAGAAAAGCUUUAAAAAAAAUUAAGUGAAAAUCACCUGAAAUCUCAAAGGUAGCCUCCCGGUGACAUUUUGGUGAACAUUUCUCCAUGUGCACGGGCACACACACCAUAGAC